rnacentral:rRNA from 1 species
UUUUCCCGUUGAUCCCGCCGGACCCCACUGCUAUCGAGAUGGGACUAAGCCAUGCUAGUCGAACGACCCGAACUAUGUCGGGUAGUGGCAUACUGCUCAGUAACACAUAGCUAACUUUCCCUUAGGACGGGAGCAACCCCGGGAAACUGGGGCUAAUGCCCGAUAGGUGUGGAGGCCUGGAAUGGUUCCACACUGAAAAGUACCGUGAACAUGUUCAUGGUAUGCCUAAGGAUGGGGCUGUGGCCGAUCAGGCUGUUGGCGAGGUAAUGGCUCACCAAACCUUUGACCGGUACGGGCCAUGAGAGUGGUAGCCCGGAGAUGGGCACUGAGACAAGGGCCCAGGCCCUACGGGGCGCAGCAGGCGCGAAACCUCCACAAUGCACUCACGUGCGAUGGGGUUACCUCGAGUGCCGCCUUGAAAGGGUGGCUUUUCCAUAGUGUAACUAGCUAUGGGAAUAAGAGGGGGGCAAGACUGGUGUCAGCCGCCGCGGUAACACCAGCCCCUCGAGUGGUGGGGAUGAUUAUUUGGCCUAAAGCGUUCGUAGCCGGUUAUGAAAGUCCUUCGUUAAAUUCAACGUCCCAAGCGUUGGCUUGCGAAGGAUACUACGUAACUAGAGGGUGGGAGAGGUCAGCGGUAUUCUGGGGGUAGGGGCGAAAUCCUUUGAUCCCCGGAGGACCACCAGUGGCGAAGGCUGCUGACUAAAACACGCCUGACGGUCAGGGACGAAAGCUGGGGUAGCGAACCGGACUAGAUACCCGGGUAGUCCCAGCCGUAAACGAUGCAUGCUAGGUGUUGGGUCGGCCAUGCGCUGCCCCAGUGCCGCAGGGAAGCCAUUAAGCAUGCCGCCUGGGGAGUACGGCCGCAAGGCUGAAACUUAAAGGAAUUGGCGGGGGAGCACAACCAGGCGUGAAGCCUGCGGUUUAAUUGGAUUCAACGCCGGGAAUCACUAGU